rnacentral:lncRNA from 1 species
ACCCCAUGUUGGUGCUCCUGUAACAUAAUAGGAUGCAGGUCCAAGAUUGGCAUCAUCAGGCAGAUACACGGAACCAUCUGAUCCUGAUAUUGAACUACUGCUCCCGCAGUCCACAGCAAAGGAGGUAGCUGCAAGCAUGUUAAAUUAUUUAAUACUUAUGUUAAUUUAGCUAAGUAGACGCACGUUGCAGAAGCUAGAAGCUCACUUUGUGGAGAGCCAAGAAAGCAGGGUGUGUCUCGCUGAAGGCACUCCAGCCCCGAAGGUAAUAAGACACUGCAGAUGUCAAACAUUGACAUUUUGAAUUCAAAAUACGAGCUUAGAGAACAAUAAUUGUACAUGAAGAUUUUGAGGAGCUAUUCGAAUGUAAACUGACCUGUUAUUGGAGUUGCUGACCACGAAAUUGUUUGCCACCAAAUUCCUAUGUACAAUGAAACAUGGAAAAAAGGCACCGUUCAUACUUCAGAGCAUAUUGAGGGUUUGUUUUAUAAGAUAAAUAAAAGCAGGGACAAAUAACCGAUUUAUUUUUUCAGCUAAACUGUAAUGAAAAGUAAUUCUCCUUCAUUAAAGAUUUGGAAUCAUAUGUGGCUUAGAUUCUGAAUCAUAGAUGACGUCAAAUGCAAAAAAGAAAAAGAAAAAAAGAAAAAAUAAAUAUGAUCUAGGUGCAGCAAAAGCAGCUUUUUAGAUGUAAUUGAUAUUAAAAAAUGCUAGUUUAAUACAUGUGUAUGAUAUUGGAUUAUCUUUAAAAUAAUAGUAAUAGGGCUGAAUUUUCGGUCAGUCAAUCAAGCUUGCAAAACUCAGCACUUACAAUGUCAAAUUCGGACUAACCCAGGAGGGAAAGUUUCCUGAUAGCUGGUUGUAGGAAAAAUCUCUACACAAAAGAAAGCAUGUAAAUGUUAUAGAUAAACGCCUUCCUAAUUUUACUUCACAAAUGAAAGUGGACAAACAUACAAGUUUUUAAGAGAAGUUCCUAUAGAACUUGGAAGGCUUCCUGAAAGACUAUUAUUCCCGAGAAACCUAGGCAGACCAAAUUUGCGCAUUAGCAAGAUUAAUGAUCAUUGUCAUCAGAACCUAGAAAUAAGUAUCAGAAGGCAAGAUAAACCAUACAAGAAGCUGAGUGAAUUCAGAUUCAGCAGAGCUUGUGGUACUUGGCCAGUGAUAUUGUUAAAACUCAAAUCCCUAUAACAACAGAACAAAUGAGACUAGGAGAGAAAGGGGUCAUCAAACAAUGCAUAAUCCACAGCAGUUCAUUAAAGCAUCUAGCAAAACAUGUAGUUGACUGGAGUUUACGAAGAAACAAAAUGUCUUACAGUAGGGUUAAUGUUGCAAACUGUGAAAAGUUUACUGAUGCCAGGUUAUCAGAUAUCCUGCAGUUCCUCAAAACUCUGCAAUGAAACAUGUCAAGAGUUUUCGGAUUUAACAAUUGGUUGCACUACAGAAAAUAUUAAGAUGUAGUUUGAGUCAUCAAAUGAAUGGCAAGUUAUGCAUACAAGGUGUUCAAAGAUGUCAUGUUACUAAUGAAUGCCAGUGAAGAACUUCCAUUUACUAUGUCACCUAUUCGUCUGCACCACAGAAAUAAAUAGUUCAUUCUUCUGUUCUGCAACCUUAAUAUUUGACAAUGAUACUUAUCUACUCCCGCCAUCAGUAGUCACUUACAAGCUUGUCAGUUGGACAAGAUUAGAAAGAGUGGUUGGAAGUGGACCUUGAAAUGAAUUGCCUUGAAACCGUCUGCAAAAUUAUAGUUGUUGUUACUAGUGAAGAAAGAAGGAAGAUCCUGCUGGUACAAGGGUCACUUUCUUGGUAAAAAAAGUAAAUAGAUUUAUGCAGAUAGAAAUAUGAUCUGUUCCAUACAAAAAAUAAUUAUUAGAAAAAUCAAUUCAAUAUUUUUAACACUAGUAUUUUUUUAAUGGAACAGGAGGGGUUAGGACCCCUACUGGUUAUAUAUUCAGGAAAAAGAGUAUUUUACAGAGCAAUAGGAGAAAAAGGAAAAUUACAACAGAUUGUCAAGCCAUUCUGUGAUUCUAGGGAAAGACUUAUUUUUUGCUCGAUGGAUAACCAUAUCAAAUUCAUACUUGAAAAUGUUUCUGCAACUCUCAACUGAAACUUGUUGUUGCCUGGAGAUUGCAUUGUUCCUUGUUGUCCAGAAUAUGUGGAACAGCACCGCAUUAUCAUGAAUAGUGAAAAAAUGUAAUAUUUACUAAAAUGAUGAAACCACCUCACAUCUGACCUUAAGUGGAUUAUUUUAAUAGGCCACUGAAUGGAGAUUUAGCAGAGUAAAAACUACACUUAGCUAAUACCAUCUCAUUUAUGAGCACAAUGAGCCAGGGUUCAAAAUGAAUUUCAUACUUGAGAACUGUUGCAAACUGUACACAAUGUCUUUAAAGAAAUUAUCAUCACCAUCUGAAAAGUAUAAGUUGUAAAUCUUACAGUUCUAAUAAAUUACUGAAGCUCCCAAUGUAAUCUGGUAUUUGCCCAGUAAAAUCAUUAUCUGAUGCCCACCUAAUCACAAAUAAGAAAAACACAUAAGGUUAAAUGAAUGAUACUGUUGACAAAACAUCUUUUAUAGGCAUACAAUAUUUUCAUGCUUGUAAGCUUAGAAAAUGAUGGUGGUAAUGGACCACUUAAGCCAGAGCUGUCAAUAUAUCUGCAAGACAGAAAUAAAAGAAUAAGAAUGUUAACAUGGUUUGGCAGAAGAAAAAGGUAAGGACUACAGGGUGCCCAAAAUUAAUCAAAAUACGCACAGUUGCUCAAGUUUAACCAUGUUACCCAGUUCGGGAGGAAGGGAUCCAUUUAAGUUGUUCAUGCUUAUGCCCCUGAAAUCCCAGAAAAAAAUAUCAGGUUAGUAGCAAAAGAUUUGUGACAGGAAACUUUCUUAUCUUUCGAAGGAUGAAUACAUUUCUCGACAGAGGUCAACUAGUAGAAGGAAUGAAGGUGUGUUUUUUCUAUAAGCUUGAUGUCGAUAGCAUGUAUUCUCAACUUAAACUGUUCUUUAUUUGUUGAUUCUUACACAUUUAAAUAAAUUUAUAGGUACGUGUACAAAGCCAAGUCGAGAUUUAUAAAACUUUGUAGUUUGGACAUUAGCAAAGAUUUCUACUGAAAUAGGGUCAUGAAACAGAGAAGGUAAAUUUCUUACAGCGAUAUAAGAUUCACAAGCUUCCCAAGCUCCUUUGGAACAGAUCCAGAUAAUGCAUUAAUUGCAAGACUCCUUUUAUGUUCAAGGGAGAUAAUUUAAGUUUCAAUGUUACCCAAAACAUGUGAUGUAGUAAUGUUAGGUUCUAAAUCUCACAUGUAUUGCAAAGCAGUCAGUUCCCCAAGGAACGAUGGUACAGGCCCUGUUAAGUAAUUUUGCAUUAAGUUCCUGAAAAAAACGUCAGAUCAGAUCAGAUGUAAACGAAAAAGGAUGGCUCUCAGUAGGUAUUAUAUUUAAAGAAAUUUUGAGCUUGAUGCGGGAGGCUACUACAAAGCAAUCCGCUGCUAUGAUAAUAUGAUAUGCUGUGGAACUGCGGAAAAUGACAAAGUCCACCGAUAAAUUGCGACUAAACAAUCUUCAUAUACACUUGGGAUACUUUGGCUCACUGACGAUUUCAAGAAAGUUGAGAAUUCAUACAAAUUGGUCAAGUGCGUGAGGUUCCUCAGCUCUUCUGGUAUAGGACCUACCAGAUUCAAUGCGUACAUUUUCCUGCAGUAAUAACAGUGAAGCACCCAUCAGCUCACACCAUCUCAAUUUAGCCUUCAUGGAUGUUCGUCAUCAGACAAACACCACUAGGUUAUGGAGCGCCGUCAAAUAACCGCACAAGCAAUAGUUGCAGAGAUAAGGACGAUGCACUAGCUUGCCACACUCUGAGUGCACGAACUGCCACCUCAGGUGGGCAAAUUAGAUCAUCCAGCAACUAAUGGUGGGCGUACGGAUAGGAAGCGUGAGACACUUACAGCUUGGUGAUGUGGCAGACGGUGUUGUUCUGGCCGGAGCACUUGCACUGGAUGGCCGGGUUGAAGUUCAUGUCUGAGUCGAUGUUGGUGUCGUCCGUGGCGGCGCCGGUGCAGGGGUCGCCGCUGAUGUUCCAUGCCGAAGACGCCGUCUGGCCGAGCUUGUCGAACACCGCAUUCACCGCCGCCGCUGCAAAACCGAAAACGGGUUCAUACUUCACACACAUCCCAAAGAAGCAAUCACCGACUAACCUUUACCGACCACAGAGAAUAUAUAAAAUAACAGAUCACCCUCAGGCACUCAACGCGAACUCUAGGCAAAAGUGGUGAAUCUAGUAGUGUACAGUGAUAGCUAGUCUUAUAAUACAUUAAAAGCAUUAUAAGUACCCUAAAAGCUUGGUGACAUAGUAACUUUUUUUUUUCUUUUUUAAUAAAAAAUAUAUAUCUAGUAGGAGUCUUAGCCCCACCUGUUCCUUAAAAAAAAAUACCAAGACUCUAGCUGUCCUACCUCGGGGCUUUCUUAUUUUUUAAAAAAAUAAAGGCAACGGGUAAUAAUACGUUUGGUUCCACGGACUAAAGUUUAGUCCCUAUCACAUCAAAUGUUUAGAUACUAAUUAGGAGUUAAGCUAAUUAUAAAACUAAUUGCACAGAUGAAGGCUAAUUCGCGAGACGAAUGUAUUAAGCCUAUGUCAAAUCAUGGACUAAUUAGGCUUAAUAGAUUCGUCUCGCGAAUUAGCCUCCAUUUGUGCAAUUGGUUUUGUAAUUACUCCUAAUUAGUAUCUAAACAUUCAAUAUGACAGGAACUAAACUUUAGUUUGUGACAAUGAAUACGACAACUAGCAAGUAACUACCACGACAAGCAGCCAUAAGGUGGUUGAAGCUGCACAACAAGUCAACAACUAGCUCUCUAAAGAAGGUUGAUUUUUAGGGCAGUCCCAAACCAUAGUUUCUAUGGGUAGUUUCUAUGUUGACCUAUCACCAAGAUGCCACUUGUAGAUCUAAUCUCCCCAACCCAUAGUUUCUAUGGGUAGUUUCUAUGUAGAGCAAAAUUUCAUGAUUUCACGCAAGCACCACAAGCAAAGCUCGGUCAGCUGUCGCAAGCAACCGCGUAGCCUUCAUGCUGCCACAGUCCGAGCCAUUGAAACAAAAUAAUUCUUUCACAGCUGCUAUAAGAUCGAUCGACCUGGAAAGCGCCGCCAAGAGACGAUGCAGGCCAAAAUGCAGGAGCGAGAUGAGUGCUGGUUCGAUCAGUGCCUGGACAAAGUGCCAAAGUGGCGCUUGAAGCAACGGACGGAGAACUGGCGCCUGCAGAAGCAACUGCGGUAGCACCAACAACACGUCUGGAACUUGAAGAGGGCUUCCUCGAUUUCUUUUGAUGUACGCCUUUCUUCUCCAAUCGAUCCUUAGAAGCGGCGCGUGUGGAAUUGCUGGCGGAGGCUUGGUGCGCGGCCGCGCACGGGGGUGGCCAGCGGCGUGAGGCGGACACAGGCGCCGGAAAUUGGCACGCGCGAGCGAGGGAGGGGAUGGCCGCGGCGCGCGCGUGAGGGAGGGUCGCGACGCGGCAGUAGCAGGCGCGCACGGAGCCUGGGGUUGGGUCGCGGCGCACAGCGGAUCGGGAAGAUGGGCAAGAAAACGAGGAAGGAAACGAUAACGCUGGCACAACGCGAUUACGGCGGUAUCUACGCACUUUGGUGCGCGAGCCGACUCGGUUUCUCACAUGAGAAAAACGAUUUCUUGCCCUUUCUUCGUUAAAUCACCUGCCACAUCGUUAGAUCGCUGAUAUGGUACUGUAUUGAAUGAUAUAGAAAUUGGAGGGUUGGGAGUGCCCUUAAUAUUUUCUCGCUUGGAUCCCAAUUUCACCUCGUGGGCUUGCUCUGUUCGAUGUUUCCUCACGUGGGACUAGCGUUGAACCACAAGAGUUUCUGACUUAUUCGUGGGCAAAACAUGGAUGAGGUCAAAAGGCGAAAAACCAUAAUAUCAUACCAUUAAACGCGCCCCUGUUGCCCUUCUACCCGAAACAUUUGGAACGAGAUAGUUUCUUGGACGAAUCGGGCAGAUGAUUCUCUGGAACAGAUCAGGGAUUGUACAGAUCAGGGAGAUGAAAUUCCAACAGCAAAGGUGGCCAUGAUGCCGGUAAGAAUUCGACUCGAUCGAGCUGAUUUUUCAAGAACUUACUUGCAGGGGAUAUUAUCUUAAGAACGUGAGGACAUUGCUGACAGCUAGCAACCUCAAACUGAGAGGCGCCUCCCAGGAAAAGAAACAAAGCAAAAGGCAAGAACAAACUUAAUUACAAAUAUACAAUCGAGCUCAUCAGAUAGAACACCUCGAAAAUUAUCUUUUUAUCGCAGGAGCGCUGAAUAGGACUUACCUUCAGUUGGAUCUGUCCUUGUUGGUGGUGCUUGCUGAGCUUUGGCCGACGCAGCUAGGAGAAGCAGCGCGGAGAGCACGUAGCCACGGAGGGAAGAACUCCGUGUUAACCUCAUCUCCCUCUUCCUAACUGCUCUCGCUUAGCUUGGCCGUGGCCCUUCCGAGGAAAGCAAUCUUGUUCCGUGUCCAAAAAAUCUGCUGAUUUCAUCAUCAUAGAAGGAAAGCAAAGCAAAUAAAGCAGCAGUCAAAGGCACACGACUGAUUGGGGAUACGCGGUCGUUUGGCAACAUUAGUACUGAAGACGACUGCAUGACUGACUGACGUUCUCAAGCUUUGGAUUCAUCCACUCGAACCAUUCAAGACUGUCAUGGUCUAGAUAAUUAAGGCGAUUUCCCAGGAUGGGAUGUUUGCUAUGGACAGAAGCUGGAACAAUUCAACGAAGUAAUAAUAAAGGCCAACCACUUCCGAUACUGACACAUAUACAUCUCAGAGUUCUAACUUUCGCCGUGCGGCUGCUUUUGGUCUGAAGUGUCAACUACUAGUUCGCACAUGCAUAAUCAGUCCAGUUUACACCACGGGAAAUCAAUUUCAUGAAGAUGAAAAAACUACUAGGUACUUCUUCCGUUUCAAAAUGUUCGGUUUUUAAACUUUUUAGAUACAUAAAUUUUGCUAUGCACCUAAAUAAUUGAGGUAAAAAUGAUUGUUAAGUAGCAAUGGGUACUUCCACCACGUACUUUUUUAAAAAAAAUUACACUGUUGAUCCAAGUAAUGUAAUUAAAAAAUAAAUUAAAUUAGUACCGGUCCCACUGUUUUUGUACUUGGUCUCCACCUAUUUGGUACUUCUUGUUACUUUUCUCUAGAUACCUCUAGGUACUUUCUACCUUUCCACCGCACGAUUUUUCUGGAUGGACGGCUCUUAUUUUUUCCAAUUAUUGAAAAUAUUUUCAUCAACAAAACCAAAACGACCUACAUUUUGAAAUAAAGGGAGUAACUAAUAGUCUAAUACCUUAGCAUUGACAAGGGCUUGUUCAACGAGAGUGGAACGACAUAGACACAAUCUCCUUGCAUUUAUCGAAAAUUUAGCAUUUUUUCCCUUCUGUUCUGCUGAAGAAUUUGGCCUAAUCCUAUGAACCCAGGCAAGUGCCUACGGAGAGAAUUUGAUGCCAGGUCCGCCAUUGGAUCAAAGUAGGCACGGCAAUGGAAUAAUGGAUAAUAACCGUCAUAUGCAGUGAUAUAAGGCUUAUAAUCCACUAUGCAAAACUAACAAUCAGGGCACCAACUGUGAAGUGUGUAUCUACACACAACGUAUUCCGUGGAUAUGGCUGCUAGGGGGGCGAGCCUUGGGUGCGAAAGAGGGCCAUUUGGAUGGUGCACCUAACGAAUCUUACACACAUCCAAAUCUUCAAAGUGCAUCCACACCAAAUAAUAUAAUCCGUUGCUUGACAGAAGCUUAUUUGAAUCUGAUGAUCAUUGACCAUCAUCACCGGCCUUCCUCGAUGAGGGAGCUCAGGUACGACGAUGUCGAUGCCGACAUGCCGACCACCUCCCUCUUGCUCGAGCUCGCCUGCCACUCGGUGACGUAGCUGGGCUUCGUGACUGCCUCUGGCACUUCGAUGUCUUCUGUGAGCAUGGACACCACCUUUGACAUGGAUGGCCGCUGCCGAGGUGAGCUCUGGAUGCAGAGGAGGCCGACGCGGAUGGCACGGAGAACCUCGUCGCUGACGAAUUCCAUGAGACUCGGGUCCACGACGUCGAGAGGACGGCCUUCCUCGUACAAUUGCCAGACCUGAAAGCGUAGGGCUCAUGCAUGUAGGAGAACUUCACUGUUGUAGGAAUGCAACAAACUAUUUUUUUUCAUAUGAUUCCAAAUUCUAAGAUCCACAUAAUGCUGCCAUUUUAAAAUUUAACACGCUGUGUCAGCUGCUUAGAUGCUAACAAGGUCUUAUAAGUGACACCAUAUGCAUGACUAGCAAUUUCUACGAAAAAUGUAUUUGUCUCAAAUAAAUAGCAUUUUUAUGUUGAAUUUAGUAUAUGAACAACUUUUAAAUUUUUAUGUUGUUAAUCUAAAUAAUUCUUCAUGUAGUGCUGCGCAAAGCUAAAACUGCUGCACAUUUUAGAAGAGGGACACUGGAGCAUAGAUCUUUAGAUCAAUAACUUAUAUUCUGUGUCCGAGGGAGUAACAAAACUUUCCCUCUUCUAAACAAGUGCCUAUCAACAACUAGCAUUCUGUACAUAGCUUAUUUAUUUGACUGCAUCUCUUUUUAUAUAAUUCAAUGAUGUCAAAAUUAUGGUUAAGUUUUUGAAUAAAAAAUCUUAUGAACGCACAUGAGCUUUAAUUUUUAUGUUAUAUAAGUGCCUAUCAUAUAUAUAUAUAUUCCCAGUUACCACAUGAAAAACUGCAAUUUGACCUGGGUCUAAAUUUUGUAGUGACUUUACCCAUUCUAAAAGAUAGGCGCUGUCUUCGUCAAGCCUAUCAUCAUAGUUUGGCCUUCCAGCUAUUGUUUCCAAUAUGACCACGCCAAAAGCAAAUACAUCAACUUUCUCCGUUACAUGACCUCUCAUGGCGUACUCAGGUGCUAGAUAACCACUUGAAAGAAGAGCAGAAAAAUAAUGUUAUUAGCUCACAGAUUAAUCAAACUAAAGUAUAAACUUUCUGCAAUUGUAUAAAGGUGCACUCCAGUGUGCAAGAUAACCUCUCAUUCCCUACUUACUAUAAAUGGGGCAAGAUGCAAAUGCGCUUACAAUGUACCGGCAACUUUUGUGCUGACAUGCGUCUUCUUGUCAUCAUAAAGUUUAGCGAGUCCAAAAUCUGAGAUCUUAGGGUUGAAAUUGGUGUCAAGUAAGAUAUUACUGGCCUUUAUAUCCCUAUGCACAACACGGAUGCUAGACUCUUCGUGCAAAUAAGCUAGACCUCUUGUAAUGCCUAAGCAUAUCCCAAAGCGUGUAAGCCAGUCUAGGUUCUUUCUCCCACUUCCUGCAAAUGAAUGUUUAAGUUAUACGAUGAACUCCUGGAGGGCCGGAGUUAUAUACAGUUGCAUCAAAUUGAAUGAACCUGUACCAAACAAUGCUUUAUCAAGACUUCCAUUCUCUAAGUACUCGUAAACCAGCAGUGGAUUUUCGCCCUCAAGGCAGCAACCAUACAACUUCACGAGAUUCCGAUGUUGCACUUGGGAAAUAGUUUCUAUUUCAGCUAUGAAUUGCUUCUUCCCUUGACGAGAUGUUUCAGAUAGCUGCUUUACUGCUACCAUGCUUCCAUCGGUCAGUUUACCCUGCGAAAAUGUGGCAUUUUUUAAGAAUGUAAGUUUCAGACACCUCAUUAUCACGCAUAUAAUGGACAAAAUAAAGAGACUGCCAAGCUAGCCAUGUGGGGCAACUAUAAAAGGAACUAGUAGAGAGCAACAAAAGGGAAAACCAAUGGGGAAUGUGUGUGUAGAUUGAUAUUACUAAAAGAAUAGGUGAAGCAUUGCCCAGAAGUAGAGGUUUAUUAGUCAAUUUGCAUACAGAAAAAGAGCUCUGGUGUGCACUACUUAUGUACGUGGAAACUUAAUUUCAGAGGCAAAUUAAAAUUCCAUAGCAAAUUUGCAUCCAUGUCACCAUGUGUAGUACAGAUGAACUAACCUUAUAAACUGCCCCGUAUCCUCCUUCACCAAGAAGGUUAGUGGAAUUAAAAUUUUCACUAGCGGUCCUUAGUUCACCAUAACUGUAACUAAAUACAUUUGGUCUUCCAACACAACUGUACAGCUCUGCAAGAAUCACAAGAGUUAAGUUUAUGAGCACAACCUCUUUGUCUGGUUUAAGAAUACACUGUGAACCUGUCAUAUCAUGUACCUCGUUUGUCCAAUGACAAUUUUCUUCUUUUCUGCCUCAACACAUAGAGUCCAGAGAGCACUAAUAGUCCUAAAACUGCUGCACCAACCCCAACCCCAACAGCGACACCUGUAUUGCUAGUACGUUUCGUCUGGGCAGCAUGGGCAGCAUUACGCACUGUAGGUUCGAAAUCUGUCCAAAAGUCCACUUGUUAGAACAAAUGCAAUCUUGGAUUUGGAUCCUAUGUUAAGUGUUUAUGAAUUUUCACUUUUUAAAAGUACUUGAGAAUUCAGCACCGGUUCAGAGUGGAUCUGUAAUUCUGUAUCACUAUUAUACAUGUCAGAGUGUUGGUUCAGUCAUCAGCAUUCUCCUAAUGGGAACUAAGUUGACCCCGCGAAAAUUAUCUAAACAGUAUAGAAACGUUGGUUUAUAGACAACGGGAGUACUUGGAGUUGCACUCAAAGCAGAGAGCGAAGGCCCAUAGUAGCCUUGACUAGGGAUGCAACAAGUGCCCUUGCCGGCCCAGAAAAGAUGAAUCUCAAGGAAGUUUCUGGUGACAGGAACAGUAUACUUCCUCGUGACAGCAGUGUAAGAUUUUCCGGCUGCUGCCUUUCUUAUGUCAAAGUUCUGCUCUUUACGCUCACCCUGUACCAAAAGCAAGAAAAAAAACAUUAGAAAAUCUCAAUCAGCCCAUAAGCUAAAAUCUCAAGUAAGUGUAAGUUAUCAGCAUGACUGGAACCUACCUGAAUAUAGAUAUCGAAAACCCUUUUACCUAAACUCUUCCAAGUCUGCAUGUCUUCGAAGUCAAACUCUGCAAAUUGAAGUGUGACUGUAUAAUUUCCAUUCUCAAGUCCAAUGCCAUAGUAGCGUAAUGAUGAUGGAGACAUCCUUGCUGUCUGGAACAGUUCUGAAUCUAGAGUUUUCAGAAACUGGCGUGAGCUGUUGAUUAUGUAACUAUUAUUUGGUGCCUCCAUGAACCUCCCAACAUUGCUAACACCCCACGUUGGUGCUCCUGUAACAUAAUAGGAAGCAGGUCCCAGAUCGGCGUUGUCAGGCUGAUACAUGGAAUUAUCUGAGACUGACAUAGAUCUCUGGCUCCCACAGUCCACAGCAAAGGAGGAAGCUGCAAGCAUGUUAAAUUAUUUAAUACUGAUGUUAUUUAGCAUAUCCUUAAAGUGCAAAAGUGGAAGCUCACAUUGUGGAGAGCCAAGAAAGCAGGGUGUGUCUCGCUGAAGGCACCCUAGCCCCGAAGGUAAGGCACUGAAGAUGUCAAACAUUGUCAAUUUGAAUCCAAAAUAUGAGCUGAGGCCUGAGAGAACAUAAAAAUUGUGCUUGAAGACUUUAAUGACCUAUUUGAAUACAAACUGACCUGUUAUUGGAGUCGUCGAUUACGAAAUUGUUCGCCACCAAAUUCCUAUGUAGAAUGAAACAUGUAAAAAAGAGUUAGAAGGCACUAUUGCAGAGAAUCAAGAGAAACCAAAGCAGGGACAAAAUUGAUUCAGUUUUUUAAGAUAAGCGAUAAGGUAAAGUACACAUCUGCUUGUUCAAAGAUUCUGAAUCAUAGAUGACGUCAAAUGCAAAAAGAAAAGAAAAAAAGAAAAAAUAAAUAUGGUCUAGGUGCAGCAAAAGCAGCCUUUUAGAUGUAGUUGAUAUUAAAAAAUGCUAGUUUAAUACAUGUGUAUGAUAUUGGAUUAUCUUUAAAAUAAUAGUAAUAGGGCUGAAUUUUCGGUCAGUCAAUCAAGCUUGCAAAACUCAGCACUUACAAUGUCAAAUUCGGACUAACCCAGGAGGGAAAGUUUCCUGAUAGCUGGUUGUAGGAAAAGUCUCUACACAAAACAAAGCGUGUAAAUGUUAUAGAUAAACGCCUUCCUGGUUUUACUUCACAAAUGAAAGUGGACAAACAUACAAGUUUUUAAGAGAAGUUCCUAUAGAACUUGGAAGGCUUCAUGAAAGACUAUUAUUCCCGAGAAACCUGGGCAGACCAAAUUUGCGCAUUAGCAAGAUUGAUGAUCAUUGUCAUCAGAACCUAGAAAUAAGUAUCAGAAGGCAAGAUAAACCAUACAAGAAGCUGAGUGAAUUCAGAUUCAGCAGAGCUUGCGGUACUAGGCCAGUAAUAUUGUUAAAACUCAAAUCCCUGUAACAGUAGAACAAAUGAGACUAGGAGAGAAAGGGGUCAUCAAACAAUGCAUAAUCCACAGCAGUUCAUUAAAGCAUCUAGCAAAACAUGCAGUUGACUGGAGUUUACGAAGAAACAAAAUGUCUUACAGUAGGGUUAAUGUUGCAAACUGUGAAAAGUUUACUGAUGCCAGGUUAUCAGAUAUCCUGCAGUUCCUCAAAACUCUGCAAUGAAACAUGUCAAGAGUUUUCGGAUUUAACAAUUUGGUUGCACUACAGCAAAUAUUAAGAUGUAGUUUUGAGUCAUCAAGUGAAUGACAAGUUAUGCAUACAAGAUGUUCAAAGAUGUCAUGUUACUGAUGAAUGCCAGUGAAGAACUCCCAUUUACUAUGUCACCUAUUCGUCUGAACCACAGAAGUAGAUAAUUAAUUCUUCUGUUCUGCAACCUUAAUACUUGACAAUGAUACUUAUCUACUCCCGCCAUCAGUAGUCACUUACAAGCUUGUCAGUUGGACAAGAUUAGAAAGAGUGGUUGGAAGUGGACCUUGAAAUGAAUUGCCUUGAAACCGUCUGCAAAAUUAUAGUUGUUGUUACUAGUGAAGAAAGAAGGAAGAUCCUGCUAGUACAAGGGUCACUUUCUUGGUAAAAAAAGUAAAUAGGUUUAUGCAGAUAGAAAUAUGAUCUGUUCCAUAAAAAAGAUAAUUAUUAGAAAAAUCAAUUCAAUAUUUUUAACACUAGUAUUUUUUAAUGGAACAGGAGGGGUUAGGACCCCUACUGGUUAUAUAUUCAGGAAAAAGGAGUCUUUUACAGAGCAAAAAGGAGAAAAAGGAAAAUCACAACAGAUUGUCAAGCCAUUCUGUGAUUCUAGGGAAAGACUUCUUUUUUCUCGAUGGAUAACCAUAGCAAAUUCAUACUUGAAAAUGUUUCUGCAACUCUCAACUGAAACUUGCUGUUGUUUGGAGAUUGCAUUGUUCCUUGUUGUCCAGAAUAUGUGGAACAGAACCGCAUUAUCAUGAAUAGUGAAAAAAUGUAAUAUUUACUAAAAUGAUGAAACCACCUCACAUCUGACCUUAUGUGGAUUAUUUUAAUAGGCCACUGAAUGGAGAUUUAGCAGAGUAAAAACUAUACUUAGCUAAUACCAUCUCAUUUAUGAGCACAAUGAGCCAGGGUUCAAAAUGAAUUUCAUACUUGAGAACUGUUGCAAACUGUACACAAUGUCUUUAAAGAAAUUAUCAACACCAUCUGAAAAGUAUAAGUUGUAAAUCUUACAGAUCUAAUAAAUUACUGAGGCUCCCAAUGUAAUCUGGUAUUUGCCCAGUAAAAUCAUUAUCUGAUGCCCACCUAAUCACAAAUAAGAAUAACGCAUAAGGUUAAAUGAAUAAUACUGUUGACAAAACAUCUUUUAUAGGCAUACAAUAUUUUCAUGCUUGUAAGCUUAGAAAAUGAUGGUGGUAGUGGACCACUUAAGCCAGAGCUGUCAAUAUAUCUGCAAGACAGAAAUAAACGAAUAAGAAUGUUAACAUGGUUUGGUAGAAGAAAAGGUAAGGACUACAGGGUGCCCAAAAUUAAUCAAAAUACGCACAGUUGCUCAAGUUUAACCAUGUUACCCAGUUCGGGAGGAAGGGAUCCAUUUAAGUUGUUCAUGCUUAUGCCCCUGAAAUCCCAAAAAAAAUGUCAGGUUAGUAGCAAAAGAUUUGUGACAGGAAACUUUCUUACCUUUCGAAGGAUGAAUACUUUUCCCGACAGAGGUCAACUAGUAGAAGGAAUGAAGGUGUGUUUUUUCUAUAAGCUUGAUGUCGAUAGCAUGUAUUCUCAACUUAAACUGUUCUUUAUUUGUUGAUUCUUACACAUUUAAAUAAAUUUAUAGGUACGUGUACAAAGCCAGGUCGAGAUUUAUAAAACUUUGUAGUUUGGACAUUAGCAAAGAUUUCUACUGAAAUAGGGCCAUGAAACAGAGAAGGUAAAUUACUUACAGGGAUACGAGAUUCACAAGCUUCCCAAGCUCCUUUGGAACAGAUCCAGAUAAUGCAUUAAUUGCAAGAUUCCUUGUAUGUUCAAGGGAGAUAGUUUAAGUUUCAAUGUUACCCAAAACAUGCGAUGUAGUAAUGUUAGGUUCUAAAUCUCACAAGUAUUGCAAAGCAGUCAGUUCCCCAAGGAACGAUGGUAUAGGCCCUGUUAAGUAAUUCCGCAUUAAGUUCCUAAAAAAACGUCAGAUCAGAUCAGAUGUAAACGAAAAAGGAUGGCUCUCAGUAGGUAUUAUAUUUAAAGAAAUUUUGAGCUUGAUGUGGGAGGCUACUACAAAGCAAUCCGCUGCUAUGAUAAUAUGAUAUGCCGUGGAACUGCGGGAAAUGACAAAGUCCACCAAUAAGUUGCGACUAAACAAUCUUAAUAUACACUUGGGAUACUUUGGCUCACUGACGAUUUCAAGAACGUUGAGAAUUCAUACAAAUUGGUCAAGUGCGUGAGGUUCCUCAGCUCUUCUGGUAUAGGACCUACCAGAUCCAAUGCGUACAUUUUCCUGCAGCAAUAACAGUGAAGCACCCAUCAGCUCGCACCAUCUCAAUUUAGCCUUCAUGGAUGUUUUUUUUUUGAAAUAAACCUUCAUGGAUGUUCGUCGUCAGACAAACACCACCAGGUUAUGGAGCGCCGUCAAAUAACCGCACAAGCAAUAGUUGCAGAGAUAAGGACGAUGCACUAGCCUGCCACACUCUGAGUGCACGAACUGCCACCUCAGGUGGGCAAAUUAGAUCAUCCAGCAACUGAUGGUGGGCGUACGGAUAGGUAGCGUGAGACACUUACAGCCUGGUGAUGUGGCAGACGGUGUUGUUCUGGUACGUGCAGUCGCAUUUGAUUCCCGGGUUCAAUUUUGGGCGAUUGUCGACGUCGGUGUCGUCCGUGGCCGCGCCGGCGCAAGGGUCGACGCCGCUGAACCAAGAUGGCCACAGUCUGCUCCCGAGUUUGUCAAACACCCCCUUCAGCGCAUCCGCUGCGAAUGAGACACAAACACGAAAACGCGAUCAAACAUCCUGCCCCUCGGCAGUCCGAGAAAAUUUUGCAAUAUGCUCCUAUGGUUUAAGAUAUUUAGACCCUGACUAUAACUUUUUGCAGGCCGAGAGCUUGCAUUGUGUGGCCGAGGGGGAUUGAUUUGUUUAGUAUUCAUGUGCUCUAAUGGUCGAGAGUAUUUUGGUGUUACAUAGCUGAUCUCCGAGAGUGAACAUGAUUUCCAGAGAAGCAAUCACCGACUAACCUUUACCGACCACAGAGAAUAUAUAAAAUAACAGAUCACCCUCAGGCACUCAACGCGAACUCUAGGCAAAAGUGGUGAAUCUAGUAGUGUACAGUGAUAGCUAGUCUUAAGCUUGUAAUACAUAAAAAGCAUUAUAAGUACCCUAAAAGCUUGGUGACAUGGUAACUUUUUUCUUUUUUAAUAAAAAAUAUAUAUCUAGUAGGAAUCUUAGUCCCCACCUGUUCCUAAAAAAGUACCAAGACUCUAGCAGUCCUACCUCGGGGCUUUCUUAUUUUUACAACAAAAAAAAAAGGCAAUGGGGGUACUAAUACUAUGCAGCAAGAGGUGAGAACAAGAUGACAUGAAGAUGCACAAAAAUAUUUGUGCUCGAGAUGAAAUCUGUCCUGCCCUGCAAUGGACUAUCCCACUCUUUCACAACCAAAAUUUAUGCUCGAACAAGAUGCUUUUACCUUUACUAUCGGUUUCAUGACUACACGCACGCCGGCCUACAUGUUGCCAGCACAGCACAUGCGCCAACCUGUUUUGUUACGCCAUCUCAGCCCAGGUCUGUGCCAGGCAAGCAGCACGAAAAUGUUUCUAUGUUUAGUAUCGAUUCCCUUUGUUUCAAAAUAGAGUUGAAUUUAGAUUUAUCCUAAAUCAAAUUUCUAUAAAUUUGAUAGGCAUCAACCUCUACAACAUCAAAUUAGUUUCAGUGAAUCCACCAUGAAAUAUCUUGACAGUGUAUUUUAUUUGGUAUUUUUUGAUGAAGUCAGUAGGAAAGCCACAACCUAUUUUUUUUAAUUUUUUAUUCUAGACCUGUUUAAUUCGCUUCCAAGAGGAGUCGAACUAAGGUCUGCUGGAUACUGCUCAAGUGCUCUAACCACUAGGCUAGAUGCACUUUUUUAUUUGGUAUUGUAGAUGUUAUUAUAUUUUUUUAUAAACUUAAUCAAAAUUAGAGAAAGUUUGAUUUAGUGAACUGAGCGUAGCCUAGCUGGUAAGGUCCCUUGUGGUGGAACCUGCUCAGUGGUAGGUGAUGUGCCCAUUGAUAGCGAGAUGUCAGUGGUGACUUCAUCAAUCUCGAGGAUUUACCGGUUCAAUUUUUCGGAGGUGCUCAUAGGGGUAAAGUUGCGUGCGUGUAUUCGUAGGGACGAGUGUGCGUACAUGUAUGUGAGCGUCUACGUCUGUGAUUCACAGUAAAAAAGAGAAAGUUUGACUUAGAAAAAACUAAUGAAAAAUAUUUUAGAAUGGAUGAAGUAAUCAAUUAGGUGCUGAUUUAUUUUUUUAAGACGUACAUAUGAGAAAGUUACCUAUCAAAUUAUUCUUACUAUAUUUGGUCAUUUAAAGACGACUCGUCAUGCUAGAUGACCGGAAGGAGUAGUAAAGAAUUAGUCUUAGACGACUCCACCGGAGACAGGCAAUGAAAACGACAACUAGCAAGUAACUACCACGACAAGCAGCCAUAAGGUGGUUGAAACUGCACAACAAGUCAACAACUAGCUCUCUAAGGAAGGUUGAUUUUUAGGGCAGUUCCAAAUCAUAGUUUCUAUGGGUAGUUUUUAUGUUCACAUAUCAUCAAGAUGCCACUUGUAGAUCUAAUCUCCCCAACCUAUAAUUUCUAUGGGUAGUUUCUACGUAUGAUUUCACGCAAGCAGCACAAACAAAGCUCGGUCAGCUGUGGCAAGCAACCGCGUAGCCUUCAUGCUGCCACAGUCCGAGCCAUUGAAAUUAAAAUAAAUUCAUUCGCAGCUGCUAUAAGAUCGAUCAACCUGGAAAGAGCCGCCAAGAGACGAUGCAGGCCAAAAUGCAGGAGCGAGAUGAGCGCUGGUUCGAUCAGUGCCUGGACAAAGUGCCAAAGUGGCGCUAGAAGCAACGGACGGAGAACUAGCGCCUGGAGAAAGCAACAGCAGCAGCACCAACAACUCGUCUGGAACUUGAAGAGGGCUUCCUCGAUUUCUUUUGAUGUACGCCUUUCUUCUCCAAUCGAUCCUUAGAAGCGGCGCGUGGGGAAUUGCUGGCGGAGGCUUGGUGCGCGGCCGCGCACGGGGGUGGCCAGCGGCGUCAGGCGGACACAAGCGCCGGAAAUUGGCACGCGCGAGCGAGGGAGGGGAUGGCCCGCGGCGCGCGCGUGAGGGAGGGUCGCGACGCGGCAGUAGCAGGCGCGCACGGAGCCUGGGGGUGGGUCGCGGCGCACAGCGGAUCGGGAAGAUGCGCAAGAAAACGAGGAAGAAAACCGUAACGCUGGCCCAACGCGAUUUCGGCGGUAUCUACGCACUUGAUUCGCGAGCUGACUCGGUUUCUAACAUGAGAAAAACAACGAUAUCUCGCUCUUUCUUCGUUAAAUCACCUGCCACGUCGUUAGCCCCCUUUGUCACGGCUCCUUGAGGAGCUUCUCCACCGGCUUCUCAAGGAGCCGUGUCAAACACUUUCUUCAAAACAGCUUCUCCGGCGAAACUGCCUAAAAACCUGUUGAGAGGAGCCAAAACGAGCAGGCGGAGCUAGGAAAAUGAGCUCCCCGCGGCUCCCUCAUCCAUCCUGCACCAUUCGGUACCAUAAUACCCCUGGAGUUUGCCGAAUUUACACCCAUUUUACCACUGCCUUCUUUUCUCUCUCUCCCCUAUCGCCCAUUAGUGGAGGAACGACGGGCGGCGACUAGCAGCGGGAGGUUCAAGCACCAGGAGGCGUGGCAGAGGUGGCCGGCAGUGGUACGCGGAAGCGGUGGCGGCUGGCAGCCGUAGGCAGCGCAGGCCAGGGAGAAAGAGAGGACGAAAAUAGAAAGGCAGCUGGCAGCACGCGUGGUGGCCAGAGAAGGAGGCUAGGGGGGUGGCCGGAGAAGGCAGCCAUGGGAGCGCGGCACGCCGGAGAAGGUGACGACAGGCGGCUGAUCUGGUGCAGUGAGGUGUAGGGUCGCGACACGGUAGUAGCAGGCAUGCACGGAGCCUGGGGGUGGGUCGCGGCGCACAACGCAUCGGGAAGAUGGGCAAGAAAACGAGGAAGGAAACCAUAACACUAGCCCAACGCGAUACCGGCGGUAUCUAUGCACUUUGGUGCGCGAGCCGACUCAGUUUCUCACCUGAGAAAAACGAUUUCUUACUCUUUCUUCUUCCCUGUUUGGUUCCUUUAGUGCAUAGACUGGACUAAACUUUAGUCCCACCCCUGUUUGGUUCCAUGGACUAAGGGGGUGUUUGGCUCCCAGGGGUCAAACUUUAGCCCCUGUCACAUCGGAUGUUUGGAUACUAAUUAGGAGUAUUAAACAUAGGCUAAUUACAAAACUAAUUGCACAGAUGGAGGCUAAUUCGCGAGACGAAUCUAUUAACCCUAAGUCCAUGAUUUGACAAUGUGGUGCUACAGUAACCAUUUGCUAAUGAUGAGUUAAUUAGGCUUAAUAGAUUCAUCUCGCGAAUUAGCCUAGGGCUUCUCUAAUUAGUUUUAUAAUUAACUCAUGUUUAGUCCUCCUAAUUAGCAUCCGAAUAUUUGAUGUGACAAAGGCUAAAGUUUAGCCCCUAGUAUCCAAACAACCCCUAAAAUGGACUAAAGUUCAUAAAUACUGUUAAACAAAGACCUUUUUACUCUUCUUCCCUACCCUCUUGGUAUCCCUGCGUCUACUCCUCCUCACACGGGAACUCUAACUACCGCUGGUUGAAGCUUCUCCAUCUCCAGCGCCAAUGGAGCACCGCCCGGGCAUGCCCAACCUACCCCGCCACAUGCGAACUCCCGCGCGGUGCAGGCAAGAUCCUUUGUGUGCCGGCGAGCAGUGGAGCGAGCAGAGGAUUGGCCCGAAUGGGGGAGCCUCGAAUCGGCGACAAGAUGGAGGCUCAUUGAUUCGGCCACAAGGUGAGCUCAAGGGGGCGUCGUGUUGAUUUGGACGCUGGGGAGGCUCGACGGGGUGGCGAUGUGUCGAUUUGACCGUCGGAGGACCCCGAGGGGGCGGCGGCAGUCCUUCUCAUCGCCUCUCCCCCAUGGCGGGCUAGCACCAUCGUACAUUGAAGCUCCGCCAGCCUAGCUGCAGGGCAAGCGAGCUUCGAUAGUGCGGCCACGGUACGGUCGAGCGCCACCGCGUAGGUGAGGGCAGCAGUGGGCCGGCGGCGAGGGGAGGGGAGCAGCGGUGGGUAGGCACGAGCGGAGGAGCAGCGGCCGGACGUGGGGAGAGCGGCGGCGUGGGGAGGAGAGCAGGAGGGAGGCGGGUGGUGAUGGCAGCGGGCGGCGACGGCAGCGAGUGGGAGGGAGGCCAGGUGGGAGGGAGGCGGCGGGCGGGAGGGAGCCGGGUGGGAAGGAGGGCAGUAAAUGAGGGGUAGGGGUGUCCCAACACCCUUUAGUCCAGUUUUGUGGAUUAGAGGACUAAAGCCUUUUGUUCAAACUUUAGUCCACUGUUUGGGUGUUUAGGGACUAAAAGUGCACCAAAACUUUAGUCUAUGAGAACCAAACACCCCCUGAAUCACCUCCCACAUCAUUAGAUUGCUGAGAUGGUAACACCCCCUGAAUCACCUUCCACAUCAUUAGAUUGCUAAGAUGGUACUGUAUUGAAUGAUAUAGAAAUUGGGUGACUUGAAGGUUGGGAAUGCCCUUAAUAUUUUCUCACUUGGAUCCCAAUUUCAUCUCGUGGGCUUGCUCUGUUAAGUUUCCUCUCAUGUGGUUGAAACAGCUUCGGCUGUGGCUUCUCUGAUGGAGCGGUUUUUUUAGCUCUAGUUUGCUUGAUUGGAAAAACAUUUGGCAAAACAGCUUCUCCUGAUUGUUUUAAAUGGAUAAAAAUGUGAAAUGUCCAUACUACCCUUACCUUUUUUUUCUUUUCUAUUUCUUUUCUUUUUUUUCAUUUUCCUUCCUCUUUUAUUGCUUUUUCCUCCACGGUUCCAACCGUUUCUUUCUGCCUACCUUAUCCUUUCGCUCCAUCCCAACGCCAACGCCCGCGCAUGCUGCUGCAGUGCCAUCCUCAUGCCCUACCGCGCCUAGGGGCAAACUGGAGACUUCGGCCUUGCGGAUGGGACGAAGCUGCGGGGAGUCAAUUUUAAUUUUUGGCUUCUCCUCCACUCUUAGCUCCUCUCAGCGCGAAUUGUGGGGCUCCAUCGGCGGAGCCGUUUCGUUCUUCCCCGUUUGGCAGCUAGGGCUGCUCAAGAAGUCCUGCCAAGAGGACCUUAUUCGUAGGCAAAACAUGAACGAAGUCAAAAGGCCAAAAAUCAUAACAUCGUACCAUUAAACGCACCCCUGUUGCCCUUCUACCCCCAAACAUUUGGAACGAGAUAGUUUCUUAGACGAAUCGGGCAGAUGAUUCUCUGGAACAUAUCAGGGAUGGCUUGCCUUGCCUUGCCGGGCAGAUGAUUCUUGGAAGAAAAUUACCGUGCCUUGCCAGGCUCGUGCCGGACCCUACUGGGGCCGCUCGUUUGGACAUCCAUAGCCAAGUGUGAAUUUUAUGGUGGGCAAGCAAAAGGCGAAACACGAUAUCGAUGGAUUGAUGCAAGCUGAUUUGAAACCCCCUCGCUAAUCUGAAAGAAAUAAGACAUGCACGCUUACCUUCAACCGGAUCGGUCCUUGUCCUCGCUUGCUGAGCUUGCGCAGAUGCAGCUAGAAGAAGCAGCAGCAGCAGCAACGUCGGGAGCGCAGCAGAGCCAUGGCGGCACGAACUGCUGGGUCCAGGCCUCCUCAUCUCCUUCCCCUCUCUCUGGCCUCGAGCUCGGGAUUGGCUGCCCCUUCCGAGGCCGAGCGGGAUAUAUGGUAACCUGAUGGAGACUCGGAUGGCGACUUGUCUCAGGCCCCGCCGCCGCGGUGGACACAUGCACCUCCCUCGACGCUGCGCCACCAUGCAAGGAUGGCGCAACUAGGGAAUUUUCUAUGGUCAAGUGGCGCCACUGCUCUGUCCAAGACUCCAAGCACAGUGGACGCGACGGGCCAACAACUACCUCCAGGCUCCCACAUGGAAGCAGAGCCGAAGGCGAUCGACGACGACGGUGACCGUGUUGUUCUGUGCGAGGAGACUUACAGCUUGGUGACGUGGCAGACGGUCGCCGCUGAUGUUCCAUGCCGACGCCGCCGUUUAGCACUUUCAUUAAAUAUUUUACAUAUUUUCGAUAAUGUGGUGAAAUUGUGUUUUCUAUGAAGGCUUGUGAACUUGAUAUUACAAAUAUUAUAUAAUUCCAUCAUAUGCGUUACACUAAAGAUUUUACCAGAAGCACAGGAAUCAAUGGGUGAUAUUGCUCCACCUCGAGUGCAGAGUGGGAGUGAACUUACAUGUUCUAAAAUAUAAACAAUAUAAACUCUUGUUACGCUGCUGGAGAGGAGGCAUCGCUGGAGUCGCACUUCGCCUCGUUGGACACGCAUCACCCCUCUGCUCUGUAUGGGUCUCUUUUGCGUAGCUCUUGCUGGCUCCAGCUCCAUUACUGUAGCACACUAUAGUUUAUCGUAGUGCGUGUCGGAUCUGGAGUUGGGGGGAGCAAUUUUUUCUAAAUUCACCGGCUCCUCCUCCAUAACUGUAGUACAAUGUAGCUAAUCGUAGCGCAUGUCAGAUAUGGAUUUUGACUCUUCACUACAGUACAGCACAACAGUGAUACAAGUAGCGUGACAUAGGAAACGAGAGCCGUGAGGGAGCGGUGCCAAAGGGGUCAUACGGGUGUCUUCCUCUAUUUUCUUUGCGACGGGAAGAGGUAAACAUAUGGGUGGGGCAUCAAGCUAAGUGCACGAGAUUGUGCUCUGAGAAAAUCUUGCUGCUUCUUUUUUUAAUCAUAGAUCGGGUUGGCAUCGUCCUGUCGUUCUGUCAUAAAUCAUAUAUAUAGAUCCGGAUAGACCAAACCCUCCAACAUCAUCAUUUGGUCCUGGCCUCAAAAAUCAAACCCGAAAAAGAAAAUCGAUCUAAGACGGGCGAAGCAACAAUCGAUCAGAGCACAUAACCUAACACAAAAUACGUGCAAAAGCUGAAUAUAUAUCCUCAGAACGUUUGUGACGUGCAUUUACAGAAAACUGUCCGUCAACUUGCAAAUCACCGGCCUUCUUCUCGGAGCUGUUAGAGGUUUAGGCAUUUUACGGCAUAUUUUAAUUCCGAAUAUUUCUAAGUAAAUUAUGGUUAUUGUGAGUGAUACAGAGCGUGUGCAAGUGUUUUGUUUAAAACACGUUUGAACGUAAACAGAACCAAAAGAAAGAACCAGAUAAGGUUCAGUAUGUACCUAGGGGCGGGAUCAUUGCCGAAGGCAAUGGGUGCGCCGUUCCUAGAACUGGAUGCAUCAGACAUUGUGUCUAAAAUGUCGGUUCGGGCUGUUCGAUGUAGUUGAUCAAAGUUGAUGCAGUGUCGAGUUGGUGCAGAGCAGUCCCUUGAACGGCCUCCAGGAUGUAGCAUGACGCGCAGAAGAUGCGCUUCCCCAAAACUUGAUCGCCUGCCUACUCGUGCAAGUGUCGCAGCAGGAUGAAGUUUCGGAGGCCUGCGCGUAGAGGCUCGCGAUGGGAAUGUCAAGAUAGCAGCGGGCAACAGCAAAAAAAAAGGGAGAGAUGCGCGUAGAGGCUCGCGAUGGGAAUGUCAAGAUAGCAGCAGGCAACAGCAAAAAAAAAGGGAGAGACGCGUGCGCGGCUCGACGAGGUGAGCAAGCGCGCACGGCACCCUUUCUCUCUUCCUCAACUUCUCAAUUAGUGCACACAUAGUCCACCUAUUUAAGUUGGUUAAGAUACUCUUAACUAUCCAGGUAGAAUUAACCACUUUAUCCAUCUAGCAUUACACGUGGAUCCUGAGAUUAAAUGAAUUAAAUCGGCCUAACCUGAAUAUUCCAACAGGAGCUAGCUAAUGAACGGCGAAGAGGUGUGCGACGAGGCGGCCCUUGGGGCCAAGCUCGACUGCCCGCUCAUAUUGCUGCUCAUGAAGCUGCUGGUGUUGCCUCCCUUGAUCUGCCAUUCGGUGAUGUAGCUGGGCUUGUUCACCACCUCGCCCACCUCCACGUCGUCCCCGGCCAGCAUCGACACAGCCCGAGACAUGGACGGCCGCUGGUGGGGCGAGCCCUGGGUGCAGAGCAGGGCCACGUGGAUGGCACGGAGCACCUCGUUGCUGUUGAAGUCAGCAAUACAGUUGCCAAACCUGAAAGCACAGAAAAUUAUCUAGAAAUGCUAAGAUGCCAGGCUAGCGUGACAUGUGUUUAGGGACGUUUCAUUUACCAAAUAUAAUCUCGUAGUAAUACCGUAUCCCUUAAUUUAUAGACGGGAUUAAAAUCAUUGGUGAGUUGCAUGGCAAUAAUAAGUAUAUCGGUGAAUGAGUAUUCUUUUUUUAAGUCAACGGGGGAGUGCCCCACCUGAUUCAUUAUAGACCAGCACGCUAGCACGCUUCCAUUAUUGGUGAGUUGUAUGGCAAUAAUAAGUAUAAGCCCCCUGCUCUUUUGGCUAGCACGCUUGCUCCCACCCAACAAGACAUUGUGCUCCACUAACUGUAUCUUCCCCGGACCACAGGAAACGUCAUCGUUGGCAAUUGAGAGCGUCAAUGUUCCCUGGGGGUAGAAGGAGCACUGACAUAGCGUAGGUAAGCUGGCUGUCCAUGACGCUAUUGAUCAGCACUGCAUGGCCCAUUGGAUUCAGUAGGGAGGCGUGCCAGCCGCUGAGAUGCCUGUCCGCUCUAGUGAUCAGAGGGCUGAACACGGACAGACGUAGCUUCUCGUGGGACAGUGGCAGCCCCAGGUAGGUUUGGGGGAAGCUGCCAAGUUGGCACCCAAGAAUACUUUGAAGCGCCGUGGUAGUCGAGCUGGAAGUGUUCAUUGGCAUCAUGGUACUCUUGUUGAAAUUGAUGUGCAGCCCCGUGGCCUCGCAGAACAGAUCAAGCACCUGCUUCAGCGCCACCAGCCCAUCUUGAUCUGCCUUGAGGAGGAUGAGGGUGUCAUCGGCAUAUUGGAGCACGGGGCACGGCUUCCCCGAGGUGGCAGGGUGUGAAAUCCUCUGGUCGAGCUUGAUCAUCUGCUGAAGGACGUCAGUGACCAGAAGGAACAACAGGUAGGGGGAUAGUGGAUCCCCCUGCCGUAGGCCUCUUCCACAGGCGAACCACGGGCCAGGAACACCAUUGACAAGGACAACAAGCUUCAAGGUUUGCAACAUGCUCGUGAUCCAGUUGCACCAGAGGGGCGGGAAGCCUCGCGCAUCCAUGAUGGCGUUGAGACUGAGACAAUCCACAGAGUCGAAGGCUUUGGCGAAAUCAAGCUUCAGAACCACGGUGGGUAGCUUGCGGCAGUGGCAGCACUGGACGAGCUCCAUCGCGUAGAUGAAGUUCUCAGAGAUCGAGUGCCCCUUGAUGAAUCCUGUCUGGUCUAGAUCAAUGAGGCGGGGGAUCUAGUGUUGCAGCCGCGUCGUCAGCAUCUUAGAGAUGAUCUUCAAGGAGCAAUUUUGCAGGCAGAUUGGGCGGUAGUCCCCCGGCGUUUUGUCAAGGAGACAGCGACCGCUUCGUACGAUUCCACUAACCGAUUCAAUGUAGCAACGACAGCUGCUUUCGUCACGGAUGUGCACCACGUCCAUGCGUUUGCAGGAAAGGGAGCGCAAAAAAAAAGAGAUAUUUUUGUGAACCGUACAGGCGGAUAUUACAAGGGCUGGGCCUAUUACAAGGCCCAAGGCCUGGUCACUCAUGACACAAAGCACGUUCGGUGAUAUGAAGCUGUGUGGUCCAGCCAAUUGCAAUUUACAGCCUUUUUUCGAGCGAAUUGGCAAUUCUUGUACACAUCCGAAUCGAAAUUUUUCCAAGUGAAUUUCCAAGAAACAAUCUUGGUCUUGGCAGAAGUUGAUCUUAACUUGCCGAUGGGCGAUGGUCAUCAAUCACCGGCCUUCAUCGAUGACGGAGCUCAGGGACAUGGCCUCCGCCCCCGGCUCCGAGCUCGACGUCCCCAUGGCGUUGCUCUGCCACUCGAUGACGUAACUGGGCUUAGUAACCGCCUCGGGCACCUCAAUGUCCCCGACGAGCAUCGACACCACCCUCGACAUGGGCGGGCGCUGCCGAGGUGAGCUUUGGAUGCAGAGGAGGCCAACGCGGAUGGCACGGAGCACCUCUUCGCUGUUGAAUUCUGUGAGCCUAGGGUCUGUGACGUCCAGAGGAUGGUCGUCCUCGUAAAGUUGCCAGACCUGAAAGCAUGAUAAGUUGGGGGACAAUUCAGAUCCAACUGUUUUUUUUUUCCUGUCGCAAUAGCAGAACAAAAAAACACACAAUCAUCAUUUUCAAGAUGGUUCCAAACAUUGAUCUUCUGCUGUGCAAGUACGCAACAAUAGGAUCCACAAUAAUACUACGGCCAUGCUAAAAUUUAACAAGAGAUGCCAGCCUCUAAUAACAAGUUCACAUAAUGACAUGUUGACUAGCAGUUUCUGCAAAAAAAAAAGGCAACUUUUCGCAAGUUUUUGGUUAGACUGUUUAAGUCCAAGGUUCGAUAAAACCCUUUGUCACCGGUCCGUGAAGGGACGUAUCUCCCUCUGAUCUAUUUUUUCCUUAAAAAUUCUAUGAGAAAAAUACUAUCUGGAACAAAAGAAAUUCAUAUAAUGAAAAAGUUCCAUCCAUGGGAAAAAAAGAAAGAAAGUACAAGUAUAAUCAUACCAUCUAAUAUAGUUAAUGUAUUUUUCUAAUAUAAAGCAUCAUGUUCUCUACCCACUCGUAAAAUUUAAAUCUAAAACUCAACUUGUACAUGAAAAAAAAAUAUUAUGAGGGAUAGGUCGGACCAACUAAAAUAGUUUGGGAUAGUAAAUUAAUCCAGAAUUUUGUUCAUAGGGUUAAACGGAAAAAGUGGAUUGCUUAGGGUAGUAUAAUUUUUCCAUUUUAUGUUUCUAUAGUCUAAAUAAUUGUUAAGUGCAGGGAAAGGAUUAGCUUUAUUGAUCUGUGGAACUAACACAAUGGCAACGACUGAGCUAGAUUCGCCCUCUGCAGAGGCUCUGAAUCUUAACAACUCAAUCCUUGCUUGCCUAUCAAUAAAGAACCAGCCGGCUUAUAUAUUGCUUGGUGCUAACAAACCAAAUCCUAAUUAACAGCUAUUGCUAACCUCCUGCCAUCUUAUCCAACAAAUCAGGCGCCUAACAUGCCGGAGCUGUUGCUGGCGCCGGCUUGCUGCGCCGCCUGUAGGUUCAGCCCACAAAAGCGUCCACAACAAUAAUACCUUAUAUUUUGAUAAAAAAUAGGUAUGUCUCAUCAACAAAUGAUUUUAGAAUGAUAUAAAUUGUGUAGUAUUGUAGGUGCGGGUACUAUUCAAACUUUAGCAGACUAAAAUUGUGGUUGUGUUUUUUUUUCUGCAGGUAAAAAAUCGUGGUUGUGUUUGAUUAAAAAAUCUCAUGAAUGCAUGUGUGCUUUGAUACUUUAAAUCACUCAUGAAUCUAGUGUGGAUUUUCCGACCCCAAUAGCAAAGGAAAAAGAGUGGAACAUUGCAUGACCUGGAUCUCAAUUGUACAGUGACCUUACCCAUUCUAAAAGAUAUGCUUUGUCUUCACCAAGCCUACCAUCAUAGUUUGGCCUUCCAGCUAUAGUCUCCAAUAUGACCACACCAAAAGCAAACACAUCAACUUUCUCACUCAUAUGACCUCUCAUGGCGUACUCAGGUGCAAGAUAUCCACUUGACGAAAACAGCAAAAAGAUCACCAUUAGCUCACAAAGUUAACGAAACUAAUAUAGUGUGUCAAGAUGCGUAAGGGGGAGAAGGUUGGAGAUGUGCUUACAAUGUACCAGCAACUUUUGUGCUGAUAUGCGUGUUCUUGUCAUCAUAAAGUUUGGCGAGACCAAAAUCAGAUAUCUUAGAAUUAAGAUUGGCAUCAAGUAAGACAUUACUAGCCUUUAUAUCCCUAUGCACAACACGGAUGCUAGACUCUUCAUGGAGGUAAGCCAGGCCUCUUGCAAUGCCCAAACAUAUCUCAAAGCGUGUUGGCCAGUCCAGGUUCAAUCUCCCAUUUCCUACCAAUGAAGAAUAAUUUUCAGAUUUAUGUAAGAAACCUGAACUCUUUGCACUUGCAUCGAAUUGAAUGAAACAUUACCGAACAAUGCUUUAUCAAGGCUUCCGUUGUCUAGAUACUCGUAAACCAACAAUGGGUUAUUGCCUUCAAGGCAGCAACCAUACAACUUCACGAGAUUACGGUGUUGCACUUGAGAAAUAGUUUCUAUUUCUGUUAUGAAUUGCUUCUUCCCCUGACGGGAUGUUUCAGAUAGUAGUUUUACUGCCACUACACUUCCAUCGGAUAAUUUACCCUGCCAGAAGGUAUCAUUUUUAAAAAUGCAUGUUUUAAGUAUCAGCGUUACCAUAUGUAUACUGUAAUGAAGAAAAUGAAGAAGACAACCACAACAAAAAGAAAAAGAAAUCAGUAGGGAGCAUAUGUAUAUAUUUUUUUGAAAUAAAUAUGUAUAGAUUUGUAUUAGUAAAAAGAACGGGAGAAGCAUGUGCAGUGAGAAAAAGAAUUCACAUUGCCCAAAAGUAGAGAUAAAAUAAAAGAGGUCUAGCCAAUUUGCAUAAAGAAACAGAUCAGUGUCAAAAAAUUCACAGAAAGUAAAAUUUAACAGAAAAUUGUCAUCCAUGUGUACUACAUAUGAACUAACCUUAUAAACUGACCCAUACCCUCCUUCGCCGAGAAAGUUACUGGAAUUAAAAUUUUCACUAGCGGUCUUUAGUUCACCAUAACUGUAAGUGAAUAAAUUAGGUCUUCCAACAGUAUUGUACAGGUCUGCAAGGAUGACAAGCAAUAAAUUCAUGAACACAACCAAUGUUUGUUUAAAGAAUACAUUGUGAGCAUAGUGUAUCAUGUACCUUGUUGCUCCAAAGACAGUUUUCUACUUUUCUGCCUCCGGACAUACAGUCCAGUGAGCACUAUUAGUCCUACAACUACUGCACCAACCGCAGCUCCAACAAUUGCACCUGUUUUAUUCUUACUUCUCUUCCGAGCAGCAUUAGGUGCUGUAAUCGUGAAGUAUGUCAGAUUCAAAAAAAGCUCACUUGUUGGAAUAAGACAGUGAUCUUACAAAGAAUCAGCAUAUUUUGACUCUGAAGUUUAUGUUAUGUUCUCCUUUACUCAUUUUUAUUUUGGAAUUCAGAUGAGAAUAUUUGCACAAUUUAGAAUAGAUAUGCACGAUUAGUAUAUAUUUAUGCAUAGGUUUAAUUGUCAGCAUGUUUAAUUGUCAGCAUUUCUCAUGGUCGAAACUAUAUGCACAAGUCGACCAAAGAAGGCUGUGGUCAACAGCCCGUAAUUCAACACCCGAUCCGUUGAAGAUGGACCGUAAAAGAUGUCAAUGGGAAGGCUGCUGCUGUCACUACUGACGUUGGUGAUCUCCGUUUCCUGCAAGUUCAUUUCGUUUACUUCUGUCACUACUGACGUCACCCGAUCCGUUUCCUUCUACUACAUCUCACCUGCACCAAGCAGGCAUAUGGAUCUUCGCUAAAGCCUAACACAGCUUCUCCAAGUUCAUUUCAAGUCUAUCUAUUCACUAUUAGAUUUAGGUGAUCACACUCAUGCGAGUUUAGUUGGUCCCGUUGCAAUGCAUACGGACCGGGUAUCCCCCUGGAAUUCUAAAAAAAAAACUCAUGCGAGUUUAGACCUAACAAGAUGGUGUUAGAAUCAUGUGAUUUGAAGCAAAUGGGAGAGAGAGUACCUGGAGUUACACUCAAAGCUGAGAUUAAAGGCCCGUAGUGGCCUUGAGUAGGGAUGCAACAAGUGCCCUUGCCAGCCCAGAACAGAUGAAUUUCAAGGAAGUUUCUAGUGACAGGAAUAAUAUAUUGCUUCUGGACAGCAGCGUAAGAUCCUCUUGCUUCCUUUCUUAUGUCAAAGUUCUGCUCCUUCCGCUCACCCUUUACCAAAAUAAAAAACUCGUGACCAGCUCAAGCUAAAAUGUAAAAACCAAGGGUAGGUUAUUAGUACGACUGGAACUAACCUACCUGUAUAUAGAUAUCAAAAACUCUUUUACCUAAACUUUGCCAAGUCCGUGAGUCCUCAAAGCUAAUCUCUGCAAAUUGAAGCGUUACUACAUAGUUUCCGUUCUCAAGUCCAAUGCCAAAGUAUCUUAAAGACGAAGGCGACAUCCUUGCUCUCUGGAACAGUUCUGAAUCUGGGGUAUUCCGAAACAGGCGUGUUGAGGUGUAUACUGUGUAACUUGCAUUUGAGCUUUGUAUUAUGUAAUCUCUUUCAAAUGCCUCCAUGAACCUCCCAACAUUGCUAACACCCCAUGUUGGUGCUCCUGUAACAUAAUAGGAUGCAGGUCCAAGAUUGGCAUCAUCAGGCAGAUACACGGAACCAUCUGAUCCUGACAUUGAACUACUGCUCCCGCAGUCCACAGCAAAGGAGGUAGCUGCAAGCAUGUUGAAUUAUUUAAUACUGAUGUUAAUUUAGCUAAGUAGACGCACGUUGCAGAAGCUAGAAGCUCACUUUGUGGAGAGCCAAGAAAGCAGGGUGUGUCUCGCUGAAGGCAC